CGGGAUCCCUCGCGGGUGCA
rnacentral:siRNA from 1 species